UUUCCGUAGGUGAACCUGCGGAAGGAUCAUUACCGUGGGGGCCUCGCGGCCCCUACCGAGAUAGCACCCUUUGUCUUUUUGAGCACCGACUGUUUCCUCGGCGGGGACGCCCGCCAACGGGGACCAACCAAAACCUAAACCCGCAGUAUCAGCAGUGAACCGUACCCAAAAAAAAAUAGAAAAUCAAAACUUUCAACAACGGAUCUCUUGGUUCUGGCAUCGAUGAAGAACGCAGC
rnacentral:misc_RNA from 1 species